AGGGAGGGAGACACCAGGGGCGGAAGUGGGACGCUAGGCGGAAUCGAAAUGUGCUGGGGGGCGGGGAGUAGAAGGACCGCGGGCGCCGGGCUUUCCCACCUACCGUCUGGGGCCCUGGCGAGGCCCCGCAGGCGCUGGCAAGAUCGUUGUGACAUCAUGGCCGUGCGCAGCGCGCCGAUGCACGACGUCCUCGUCCCGCGCCCUCCGCAUCUGGGACAGCGAGCCGUGCGAGCCAGUUGGGCGAACGAUCGAGAACGCGGGGCUGGUUUGCAGGCUGCCUCUGGGAUCUAGGAGCCGCGGGUAACACGUCCAGACUCGGGACAUCUGCCCAUCUGGAGCCCAUCUGAAAGGCCCGCGCCUGGCCACGAAGUCUCCGCGGGGCCUGAGGCAGAAAGCACCUGGGCAGGGGACCCUGCUAGCUCAGAAUGUCAUCGAGUCACUUUCCCUGGCGCUAUGCCAAAAGAAAAAAAGCAAACAAAAAACCGCCUGAGUACAAAGAGUGACAUCUGAACUGUCAAUAUUUCUCAAAGUUCACGGGGCAUGAAGGGAGUCUGACCUGUCCCAUUUCUGGAACGUGACCCAGCAGGGGAUGGAGCGUCCGUGUCCCUUGUCCCAUGCCCAGUGUACAGACUAGGCCGGCUUCCACCUCUGCACACUGUCCCUGAGUCUUGCUAGCUGCUGUGGGUUUGUGCCCCAGGAGUCAAAACUUGUGACUUGAAGGAAUACUGUGGUCAGGGUCCCUGGUGAGUACAGAUUGCACACACAUACACAGGCGUGCCUGAACUUGGGCACUGUGUGUCUUGUCAUAGCAACACAGAAAAUAGAUGAAGCUACCCAGGUCAGGGAAUAGAGCUCAGUGGCGGAACGCCUGCUUGGCAAGCCCAAGGUCCUGAGUUUGAUUCCACACACAGCAACAAUGAAAAAACAAAAGGAAGCUGCCCGAGGUGCUAACUGGUAGGAAACUGCUUAGACCGGGGUUGGGGGGUUCUUUGUUACUAAGAGUGCUCCAGGAGCAGUGCUCUCCACCCCACCCCACCAUCAACCACCAGUCCAUUGUCACUUAUUUUGGGAAACUGAUACAAAUCAGGAAGUUGUGUCAGCUACAGCCUUGACGCUGGAUUGGAAAGACUCCGAGAUGUGGGGAGCAUCUAGAUUGUGCCCGUGGGCUGUGAGAGGGGCAGUGAGUGGAGGCAGCAGUUCUUGAUGGACCUGUCCAGCCGCUCAAAUGCAGGCUCCCAUCUCUCAGAUAACAGGUGUAUACGGGAUGUUCUCUCUUCGUGGUCUCCGUGUUGGCCAUGCAGACUACCGCAUGUUCUCUCAGUUGCAACACCCCACACAUGCAAGUGUGUAGUUUAUGGGCUCUGUGGAUUGGUACGUUUCCUGUCUAAUAUGGAAAGUGGUGUUGAAUCCUCCAGCUCAUUGCUCUGUUAAGAACUGUUUGUUACUUUUCCUACGCAGGCAGCAUCAAUGCAGUCUGGUACAGCCCCUUUGCCUCCCCAGCUUUCCUCUUCUCAUCUGCACUGAGACCACAGCAAGCCUGGGACUUUUCCAGAGGCACAGGGACACUGGGUGUUCCAGGACAUAGACCAGGAUGUCCACUCAGCAAGAAUGUGGAGGGAUGCCUAUGUCUGGUUCUGUGGGUCCCUUGGAGAAGUGUCGUGGACUCCUAAUCUUAGGUAUGCUAUGAACUUGGAAAUGUUUACUUCGCAGUGACCAAAGAACUUGGCCAGUCCUUCUGGAUCACUAGUAAGCAGGCUGGUGGGAUAGCACCUUGACAUCCACAGCUCCUCUGGUUAUGGAGUGGUCAAGGGCCCAAGGGCUUUAUUUGGAGGAAGGGGUACUGGGAAUCAAACUCAUGCUUGCCAGGCAGGUGCUGCACUGCUGAGCUAAAUCCCUGGCCCCUGCCCAAGGACUCUGAGCUGCCCUGUGGUGAACAAGCAGGUUCCUCAUACCCUUACUCGGGCCAUUAUUUCUACUGUAACUUUAACAAUCCUUUAUAAUAACUAUUCUUAAAAUAGAUCUGAUAACAAUACACAGAGUCUGCCAAAAAUGUAUACACACUUCAGGAAAAGACAUACUUGUAUAAAUAUUUUAAUGCUAAACUUGAUGAGCCAUCACAAGAUGCAUACAAAUUGCCUUUGGCCUCUGCCAUUACAAGAGGUGCUCAAAGUGCUAAGUUUAUUGGGACAGUGAAUUGCUGCUUAGUCUUUGAGAUUGCUGCAUGUGCACUUUCAAGUUCUUCUCUAAAGACCAGCAGUAUAGUGGCUUUUCUGUGAUACAUGACAUCCACUAGGGUCCCCCCCAUGAAGGUGACACCAUCUGUUGGAAAAAACAUCACACUGGGCUGGGGGUAGAGCUCAGUGGCACAGUGCCUGCCUAGCAUGUGUGAGGUUGUGAAUAAUUCCCAGUACCAAAAAAAAUGCACUAUUUUUCUAAACUGUGUAUACAUUUUUUGUUGGACUUUGUAUUUACUUGUUUAAAAGAAUCAGGUGUUCAUAAAUCAUUUAGGAAAUAUGAAAAACCAUGUUUUAAAAAAAUCAUGUAUAGUCCUACCACCUAAGGUAGAUAUUUGGAGUAUGCAUUUCCAGAUAUUUCCCAGUGCAAAAUGUCCUUGUUUUGUUUUGUUAAGCAGAACCACACUUCACAUGAAAUGGAACCAAUUCCUAACUGACACAAAUGUCUUCUGAGCCCAUGUGCCAUUGUUGUGAUGUCUCUACCGGAACCUGAUUUACAUGCCACACAGUCCUGCCACAGAGAAGUGCAGCCAUCACCACAGCCACUGUAACCCAGUUCCCUCUACACCCACUCCCUGGCCACCACUCCCCUGCUUUCUGAGCCUGGACUUUGAUGUGGAUGUAUUCAUAGACUAUGUGGUCUUUUUUGAUUGACUGCUCACAGUGCUUUCAGGAUUCCUCCACGUUGCAGUGCGUACUCAUACCCUAUCUAUCCCUUUCUAAUGGGCAAAUAAUAUUCCAUUAUGUGGAGGUACCACAUUUUGUCUUUGCAUCACCUGGUGAUGGACAUUUGAGUUGUUUUGACUUUUUCACUCUGAUGAAUAAUGGCGUGAUAAACGUGCACCAGUUCUGUGUAUGUCACCCCUUCUUUUGGGCAGGUGGAGUUGCUGAGUCCUGUGGGAACCCAAUGUGUGAUCAUCAGAGGGGUCUUCCCAAAGCAGGUACCCCAUUUCACAGUCCCUCCAGCAGUGUGCCAGGGUCCUUGCCAACACUUGUUACUAUUUAACUUUUUGAUUUCCCCAUCCUGGGAGGUGUGAUCAUGACAUCAGUGUUAACAGUCCUGUAUGUGGGGCGUCUCAGCUAAGAUUGUGGUAGGUGCCAUUCUCCAGGAAUUAGGGGAAGAGGAGAGAAACUGUGUAGGACUGCAGCAGGCCGCCUGCCAUCCGGGCUGCAGAUGCCCAUCACAUCUGUGUGGACUUGGGGCAAAGAGGAAAUAAAAGUUUCUGUGAUCUCUGCA